GUGGGGAAUAUUGGACAAUGGGCGCAAGCCUGAUCCAGCCACGCCGCGUGAGUGAUGAAGGCCCUAGGGUUGUAAAGCUCUUUCACCGAUGAAGAUAAUGACGGUAGUCGGAGAAGAAGCCCCGGCUAACUUCGUGCCAGCAGCCGCGGUAAUACGAAGGGGGCUAGCGUUGUUCGGAAUUACUGGGCGUAAAGCGCACGUAGGCGGAUAUUUAAGUCAGGGGUGAAAUCCCAGAGCUCAACUCUGGAACUGCCUUUGAUACUGGGUAUCUCGAGUAUGGAAGAGGUGAGGGGAAUUCCGAGUGUAGAGGUGAAAUUCGUAGAUAUUCGGAGGAACACCAGUGGCGAAGGCGGCUCACUGGUCCAUUACUGACGCUGAGGUGCGAAAGCGUGGGUAGCAAACAGGAUUAGAUACCCCGGUAGUCC
rnacentral:rRNA from 1 species